rnacentral:rRNA from 1 species
GACGAACGCUGGCGGCGUGCUUAACACAUGCAAGUCGAACGGAAAGGCCCUGCUUUUGUGGGGUGCUCGAGUGGCGAACGGGUGAGUAGCACGUGAGUAACCUGCCCUUGACUUUGGGAUAACUUCAGGAAACUGGGGCUAAUACCGGAUAGGAGCUCCUGCUGCAUGGUGGGGGUUGGAAAGUUUCGGCGGCUGGGGAUGGACUCGCGGCUUAUCAGCUUGUUGGUGGGGUAGUGGCUUACCAAGGCUUUGACGGGUAGCCGGCCUGAGAGGGUGACCGGCCACAUUGGGACUGAGAUACGGCCCAGACUCCUACGGGAGGCAGCAGUGGGGAAUAUUGCACAAUGGGCGGAAGCCUGAUGCAGCAACGCCGCGUGCGGGAUGACGGCCUUCGGGUUGUAAACCGCUUUCGCCUGUGACGAAGCGUGAGUGACGGUAAUGGGUAAAGAAGCACCGGCUAACUACGUG